GCUUUUAAAGGAUGGAAGUUAUCCGUUGGUCUUAGGAACCAAAAAAUUGGUGCAACUCCAAAUAAAAGCA
rnacentral:tRNA from 1 species